rnacentral:rRNA from 1 species
UACGUAGGGGGCAAGCGUUGUCCGGAAUCAUUGGGCGUAAAGCGCGUGUAGGCGGCUUGGUAAGUCCGUUGUGAAAACUCGAGGCUCAACCUCGAGACGCCGAUGGAAACCAUCUGACUAGAGUCCGGAAGAGGAGAGUGGAAUUCCUGGUGUAGCGGUGAAAUGCGCAGAUAUCAGGAAGAACACCCGUGGCUAAGGCGGCUCUCUAGUACGGUACUGACGCUGAGACGCGAAAGCGUGGGGAGCGAACAGG